UACAUGUGGGGCAAGCGUUGUUCGGAAUUACUGGGCAUAAAGGGUGCGUAGGCGGCUUGUUAAGUCAGGGGUGAAAGUUUUCGGCCCAACCGGAAAAUUGCCUUUGAUACUGGCGAGCUCGAGUGCGUGAGGGGUAACCGGAACGAGUGGUGUAGCGGUGAAAUGCGUAGAUAUCACUCGGAAGGCCAAAGGCGAAGGCAGGUUACUGGUACGCAACUGACGCUGAGGCACGAAAGCGUGGGGAGCAAACAGGG
rnacentral:rRNA from 1 species